GAAUGGACAUCGACAUAGAGAGAUCAGCUCCACACUUAUACUCUGCCACUCAACUUCCCCAUGUGACUUGAGGAUCACUCUGACUCCAAAACAUAGCAAGCUCGCGGAACAUCAUUCAUGCAAAGUAUUCCAAGGAGCCCCUUGAAGCAACAGAAUGGAUUUCUCUUCUAUGGUGGAAUGGCACCCUGGAUGAUUAAAACCGUAGCAGCAAACAAAACCUCCAUCAAAUAUUCCUGAAAACAAAGUCAAGUUAUAUUUCUACAGUACUAGCGUCUGCUUAAAGAAAUGACAAGGUGAAGUCUUUCACAAAGUAAGCAUUCAAUGUAUGAUUUCUCUGCUAUGUAAAUCUGGUUGUUCAUACAGUUUCUAUGACAUAAUUGGCCACGACC
rnacentral:antisense_RNA from 1 species